rnacentral:lncRNA from 1 species
UGAAAUUAUAGCAUACGUAAAUUGUAAAGUCACGUGUAUGACAGCAUCGAAGCACUUCUCUUCUAAACGUGUCAAAGAGAGGAAGAGACCUGCUUAACACACUGUAGUUUUGUUGUUUCGUAUAUUGCAAGUUGAGUCUCAUGUACAGCAAGAAAGUGUCUUUCAUCCUUGUCAAAUUGGACAUGAGUCUCCGAUAGUUCUGAAGGUAACCAACCGGAGGAAAUCUCUAAAAAUGUGUUGUUCUUUUUCUCCCACGUGAUUGAAUCCCAUACAACAAUCUGCAGAAUAAUGGAGGAAAAAUAGAUUAUUUAAAUAUGUUUACGACAACAAUCUUAAAGUUGGCAACCUCGAAAAAGUCGAUCAAUUGUAUCUCUCUACGUCAAGAUUGAUUUUAUUUUCAAACUUGGAAAAUGUAGUAUUCAUAGAACUGUAUGGUAUAAUAAACAAGAUUUUAGUUUCUUUUUUCUUAGUUCAUACAAUCUAGUACUAUACAAUUCUCCCUACCAAGCAAGCCAAUAGCGUCUAAAUAAUAUAUAUUUGACAACCUGAGUUCAUUUAAGCUGGUAAAUAAAUUAUUAUACUUGAAAACAUUUAUUGAUUCACAUUCAAAGGAGGAAUCUGGCUGUCCUUCUGCACGAUCAACCAAUAGAAUAUAUAGAAUACCAACCUGAGCAUCCAAUCCAGAAGAGACAAGUACAUUUAACACGGUUGAGAAAGAAAGGCUGCUAAUUCUCUUAGAAUGGCCCUUAAGCUUAUUUGUCAACUGCAAAAUGAAGGCAAUGGCUAAAUGCUGCACAUUUCUUCUUAAUCUUUCUAACUCUAAUAUAAGUGAAUGUUGGACACAUAUAUCAUACCUCGUCCACACGGACAUUAUAGAUGAGAAUUGUUGAAUCAUCCAUACCAAUAGCGAUUAUGUUGUUAUCAGGCGGAUAGAAAACAAUACAUGUUGCUGCAGGUGGGGAUUGCAUGAAACUUCUCAUUCUCUACAGUAAUCGAGCAAAUUGGAAAUGGUAGGUUAGUUAUUUCUAUAUGUCGAGCAUCCUAAAGUUCAAUGAUAUGAGAGCUCUAAGUUAGGUGCUACCCUGUGAAUUGAACAUAGAACAUUUUGCCAAUCUUUCACAAGCAUCCAAAGCAGCUACAACUUUUAGUAUUACCUUAAAAAUCAACAUGUUGAACAAAGAAACCAUCUUUCCAGAUGCUGAGACAACAUAAGAAUCAUUCUUGGACAAACAAAAGCACGGUGAGACUAAGUCGAUGUUACUUUCGGGAAGGUCAUUGAUCAUCAGCAACCCACUCUUUGGUUGCCACAGUUGAGGGACACACUUUGUAGUUGCCUGUUGCAGCAAAUACUCAGUUACUCUUUAAACAAUGACUGGCUGAUCAAAUCGAAGAUACAUAUAUACAAGCACUUGCAUAGGUGCAGAGAGAGAGAGAGAGAGAGAGAGGCUCAAAAUGCAUUCCAUUACAGCAAAACAGUUGAAUUUGAAUCUAUCCAAACUCAAAUCUCUUUAUACCAUUUUUUCUCACCAACUCCAACGUUUGUGUCUACACAACCAGUUCUUGAAUGCAUGCUCAAUUUCUUGAUAUCUUCAGACGUGUUCGGUGCAAGUACCUUUUUUCUCUCGCUAAACCUGUCCAAUAUUGUCUAAUCCAGCCUACCAAACAUGCCCUCAAUUUUCGAUCUGGAGGGGCGCAGUCCAUGUACUUUCAGAUUCCAUGGGUUCAAUGAUGACGACUCCACCAUCCGAUAACCCUAAGGCAAACUGGUUUGCCUUUUGUGGAUGAGCGGCAACCACCAGUGGAUAUACACGAGUUCUGCAUCCACCAUAACAAAAAUCAAAUUAAGCACCCUUGACAUGAGUGAAUGUCACACACACACAAAGUUGGAUCACUGAUGCUGAAGAACAUGAAUUCUGCCAGAAUUUAUGACAAAUUGGCGAAGUAAAUUACACUUUUUGCUCGUUGUCAAGAAAGGUAAAAAUGCAGUUAAGCUCCAUUUCGUUUUAGAUUUAUAAAAAAUAAAAUUCAGGAAAAUAUGUAUUGGUAUAGAAGGAUUUUGUCCAGACUUUCCAUCCCCUUUAACAGAACUAGAUAGUCCUUUUGUCCGAAAUUGCCAAAACUAAUUAAUUUUCUUGAGACAUUUUUGUCAGCGAGACUUUACUAUGGACACGUGCAGUUUUGCAAACAUUGACUGGAGAAAGAGAUGUGACUAAAAACCAUGAAUAAUGCAACUAAAUCAUUGAUACAGAAUUGAUUUUUUUAUAAAUUGUUGGUUGGGUCAAACGGAUUCAACUAUCAAGUACCUGAUAUGCUGUGGAAGGUAAGCAGAGGGAUCAAUCUCAAAUCUUGGAACGAGAUCUGAAGCACCGAGUAUCAGAACAAUUCCAUCCCUCAUGACAGUGUAUAACAAUUCAGCAUCACAAGAAAAUGCAGCAUGGGCAAUCCGUGCACAGAAGUUUCCAACGACCCACUGAAAUUAUAGCAUACGUAAAUUGUAAAGUCACGUGUAUGACAGCAUCGAAGCACUUCUCUUCUAAACGUGUCAAAGAGAGGAAGAGACCUGCUUAACACACUGUAGUUUUGUUGUUUCGUAUAUUGCAAGUUGAGUCUCAUGUACAGCAAGAAAGUGUCUUUCAUCCUUGUCAAAUUGGACAUGAGUCUCCGAUAGUUCUGAAGGUAACCAACCGGAGGAAAUCUCUAAAAAUGUGUUGUUCUUUUUCUCCCACGUGAUUGAAUCCCAUACAACAAUCUGCAGAAUAAUGGAGGAAAAAUAGAUUAUUUAAAUAUGUUUACGACAACAAUCUUAAAGUUGGCAACCUCGAAAAAGUCGAUCAAUUGUAUCUCUCUACGUCAAGAUUGAUUUUAUUUUCAAACUUGGAAAAUGUAGUAUUCAUAGAACUGUAUGGUAUAAUAAACAAGAUUUUAGUUUCUUUUUUCUUAGUUCAUACAAUCUAGUACUAUACAAUUCUCCCUACCAAGCAAGCCAAUAGCGUCUAAAUAAUAUAUAUUUGACAACCUGAGUUCAUUUAAGCUGGUAAAUAAAUUAUUAUACUUGAAAACAUUUAUUGAUUCACAUUCAAAGGAGGAAUCUGGCUGUCCU